rnacentral:rRNA from 1 species
GAUGAACGCUGGCGGCGUGCCUAAUACAUGCAAGUCGAGCGAACAGAUGAGGAGCUUGCUCCUCUGACGUUAGCGGCGGACGGGUGAGUAACACGUGGAUAACCUACCUAUAAGACUGGGAUAACUUCGGGAAACCGGAGCUAAUACCGGAUAAUAUAUUGAACCGCAUGGUUCAAUAGUGAAAGACGGUUUUGCUGUCACUUAUAGAUGGAUCCGCGCCGCAUUAGCUAGUUGGUAAGGUAACGGCUUACCAAGGCAACGAUGCGUAGCCGACCUGAGAGGGUGAUCGGCCACACUGGAACUGAGACACGGUCCAGACUCCUACGGGAGGCAGCAGUAGGGAAUCUUCCGCAAUGGGCGAAAGCUUGACGGAGCAACGCCGCGUGAGUGAUGAAGGUCUUCGGAUCGUAAAACUCUGUUAUUAGGGAAGAACAAAUGUGUAAGUAACUAUGCACGUCUGGACGGUACCUAAGCAGAAAGCCACGGCUAACUACGU